UCGAAGUUCACGAAUUAACGAUAUGCAAAUCUGAUCAAAGUUUAGACAUGAAGGAACAAGCAAGCUCAAAAUGGUAAAUUUUAGGGUUACGUUUUCCAACUACUCUAUUUUAGUCCUCGGGAUCCAUGUUUUGGAUUGAGUGGACAAAAACUCAUGCGAACACUUUUUCCAAAGAAACGGUUUGAAGGAACUUUCUCAUUACCCUCGUCUCUUUCCUGUACUUGGUUCAACAGCAGCAGUUGUAUGAUGUCGUACACCAUUCUAAACAACUCGUGCAAGGCUCUCAGUAGGUUCAUCAGUGGUACAAUAACAGCUUCGUUUGGAUCACUCAUCGUGUUUACUGCUGUGGUGUAGUGGCAUUAAUACUGUACGUACGAUAAAGAUGGAAAAGCCCAAAGCCAAUUAGCGAGAGGUUUUUCAGCCGUGUCGUGAACGUGUUCAUUCUUCCAUGAAGAUUCCCAAAAGCUUUUGAUCGUGACUUUGAGAUAUUCUUAAUGGAGCAUGAAUACGUUCGCGACACGGUUGAAAAACGCUCGCUAACAUUGGCUAUCUUUCUAGGACACUGUAGCCAAGUUCACUUAAGAGGCGAUGCCGGCCAAGAAAAAUGAAGCAAAAUCAAAAAUUCGUGGCCACGCAGUCUAACAAUCAAAUACCUUAAUUUUUGGCUUGUAGAAAGGUUUUAGUGAGUUUAGCAAAGUGUUGGGGUUUAUUUGACAAUUUAUAAAGAAAUCCGUGAAAAAAUCGAAAAAAACGAUUUCCGCUUGUCGCUCGUCUAAACCGUAGCUGCGACGUCAGUACCAGCGGAUAACGCUAGCUAGGGU